rnacentral:rRNA from 1 species
AACGAACGCUGGCGGCAUGCCUAACACAUGCAAGUCGAACGAAGCCUUCGGGCUUAGUGGCGCACGGGUGCGUAACGCGUGGGAAUCUGCCCCUUGCUUCGGAAUAACAGUUAGAAAUGACUGCUAAUACCGGAUGAAGUCUUCGGACCAAAGAUUUAUCGGCAAGGGAUGAGCCCGCGUAGGAUUAGGUAGUUGGUGGGGUAAAGGCCUACCAAGCCGACGAUCCUUAGCUGGUCUGAGAGGAUGAUCAGCCACACUGGGACUGAGACACGGCCCAGACUCCUACGGGAGGCAGCAGUGGGGAAUAUUGGACAAUGGACGCAAGUCUGAUCCAGCAAUGCCGCGUGAGUGAUGAAGGCCUUAGGGUUGUAAAGCUCUUUUACCAGGGAUGAUAAUGACAGUACCUGGAGAAUAAGCUCCGGCUAACUCCGCG